UGAUGACUGCUCCUCCUAUCAUCUUUAGGUGUGGCACUUGGAUUUUAGGUCAGCAGGCAUUAAAAAUGUUUUUUUUUCACUCAGAAUAUUAAGAUAUUGGGAUUAUCUAUGUGUUCUCUGAAAUUUUUGGGAUCAAACAAUU
ensembl:snoRNA